GGAAAGGUCCCUGGUGACCUACAUUAGUUAGGGGCACAUUCUGUUCGCUUGUUCUCUCCAUCUAUGCAAGACAAUGAGCACAUCAAGGGAACUCAAAAUUGAUAAGUGGAAUGAGGAAGUUGAUGGUAAAUUAUGUGAACAAGCAAUGGAGAAGAAAUUAAAGACACAAGGUUAUAGUUUCACCCGCUAUCAGUUUCCUCCCGGGAUGGACUUCCCGGAUCACACCCACAACUGGACUAAAAAAGACUCUAUAGUGACCGGGAGAUUUCAGUUCUGUAUGUACGGCCAGGCUGUUACAUUGGAGCCCGGAGACAUGAUCGAUGUCCCAAAGGAUCAAGUUCAUAGUGCUGCUGUUGUAGGAUCCACACCAGUCAUGUUUUAUGAUGCAACAAAAACAUAACAAAAGCAAGUGUUGUAUAAAUUAUCAAGAUUGUUGUUUCAAAUAAAUUAUUAGAAGUUUUA